rnacentral:lncRNA from 1 species
AUGAUUUCUGCCUUUUGAGAGGAGGUUCCUGGAGCUUUCUUGGGGAAGAAAACACAUGCACAAAUCCUGGUGUAAGGAAUAUUUUAAGCAUAUAUCUUCAAUAUCAUUCAUCCAGGACCGAGCAAGACCAACACUCUUCCUCCUCCUCUGCCUACUCAAUGUGAAGACAAUGAGGAUGAACACCUUUAUGAUGCUCCACUUCCACUUAUUGAAUAGUGCUACACAUGAAACUUGUAACCAGUUACUACAGGCGAAAGCAAAUCCAUGUCUUCAGGCUGGUGUCAUCAGGGAGAGAAGCUUUGGUUUCCACAUAAGGAUAUAAGAUCAUUGAUGUAAAACAAGACAUGUAACCUCUCAAAUUGAGAGAAUGGAUUGGAGAGAUAUUGUUGACCAUGUUUUCCCCUGUAUCUCACCUUCCCCUCUCCAAGACUUCCUUGUCAGUUACCCAUAUUGAUAUCAGUUUAUCCACAUCCAUGCUUUCAAGUUUAAACAAAGAAACUAGGCAAAGGCAGCUAUGUAUUCGCUAGGAUUAGGGAGGAGAAGAUAAUGAACCACUGGAUAGUGAGAAGAAAGAGAGGUGGAGAAAGUGAGAGACCCCAGUAACAGAGGACAGGGACACAUUGCUAAGGAUAGGGACACAUUCACUGUAAUAUAGAAGGCCAUGCUUAUAUGUAAAAUAUGCAGUAAUUGUAUAUAUAUGUACAAAAGUGAUGACACACAUAUGCACAUAAACAAAACACAAUUACUGUCUAUGUUUCUUUAUUUGUGACCUAAUGUUUUAUGUUGUUUGUAACUGAAAAAAAAAUUCCCUUCUGAAUAAAAUGUCAAUUUUGCGAUUGCAUUUUUUCUUGUUUUUACUGUAAUAUUUCAAUUAUUUGUAUAUAUAUAUUUUUGAGACAGGAUUUCACUCUGUUGGACAGGCUGGAGUGCAUUGGCCUGAUCAUGGCUCUCUGCAGCCUUGAUAUCCUGGGCUUGAGCAAACCUUACACCUUUGCUUCCUAAGUAUCUGGGA